rnacentral:rRNA from 1 species
UACAGGGGGGGCAAGCGUUGUUCGGAAUUACUGGGCGUAAAGGGCUCGUAGGCGGCCAACUAAGUCCGACGUGAAAUCCCAAAGCUUAACUUUGGAACUGCGUCGGAUACUGGAUGGCUUGAAUUCGGGAGAGGGAUGCAGAAUUCCAGGUGUAGCGGUGAAAUGCGUAGAUAUCGGGAAGAACACCCGUGGCGAAGGCGGCUCUCUGGAACGCAACUGACGCUGAGACGCGAAAGCGUGGGGAGCAAACAGG